rnacentral:rRNA from 8 species
CGACCCCAGGUCAGGCGGGGCUACCCGCUGAGUUUAAGCAUAUCA